AGGGGUGUAGCUCAACUGGUAGAGUAGCGGACUCCAAAUCCGUUGGCUGCGGGUUCAAGUCCUGCCACCCCUGCCA
rnacentral:tRNA from 1 species